GAAGGUCGGUCCUUCGAAAUCGGUAUGCAGAUACGGGUUUCAAACUGCCCAUAGGUGCUGUAGAUUAAUGUCUUCGGUAUUGAGCGUUAUGGGAAAAAGGCUGUAUAAACAGUCAAGU
rfam:Alkaliphilus metalliredigens QYMF, complete genome.